CGAUCACCUCCUAAAUUCGUUAUGCCAUGCCCAGAACCCACUAAAAGAAAACCUCUUCUUCAGGUUCGUCCCUCCCACCAAGACGAGGGCCGAGGGCUGCGCCGGGGCGCGGAAGACCACGGGGAGGAGGGCCUUUGGCUCUGGGGAAGGAGACCACACGAAGCGGGAGUUGGAUGUGGUGCUGGCAGUAUUCCGAUUCCGGCAUUCUCUUGCCCCGACGCCGCAUCCCUCGAGUGCCGCCACAGGUCGCUCCGCCCGGCGACCGAAAUCUGACGGCAUCCUCCGCAACCUCACGCCAGAGAAGGGACAGCCUGGAUGUGGUCACUGCGUCCUCGCUCCUCAUGGCGGUCACUCCACCGGGAAAAAAUCGCUCCACCGAUCUGCCCGUCAUGGAACACAGGACGUUAGUCUGGGAGCCGCCGCUGCCUUCUCAGGUCCACGCCAGGCACGAUUUAAGCUGCUGCUGUCUCUCUCGAAUCCGGGGGACUGGACUAGCUGCAUCUGCCUCUCUGACGGGAAAACCGUUGUUGACGCCACCGGUGACGAUCACCAAUCAUCUUGCUUUCCCCCACGCGGAAGCAUUAUUCUAUUCCGGCAUGGCGUGCAGGUGGAUGCGGUACGUGUUUCUGGGACGACUGUAAGGUACACGACGGAGUUCUGCAUCCGCAACCCGCUGCUCGGACACGCUUCCAUCUGUUGGUUUAUGAGGUAAUUGACAUUUGUGUAUGACUUGAGCUGUCCUAAAUUUGAUUGAUGUUGGUAAGGCGCAUUAGUAUUAUCACUCAUAUUGGUUAAUUUUCAGGGCUCCCUAGAAUAAUUCGAUGGUCGAUGGCCUAAGAAUGAUACAAGUGAGAGGUUUAGUCAUGGUUAUUAAGGGUGGUUGUUUGUGCCUUCGGCAAGCAUGGAAAGCCUUUUCAAAAUGGAUUUGUAUUCAUGUUUCAGAUGAUCUCCUAUAGUACUUAUUGUAUUCCUAUUGAUGAACCGAAACAUUUUUCAUAAUGAGUUCUCUGCAGUUUGUGUAAUUUCACUUGCUGUAUCGAUCACACCCAGGCUCUAAACACCUGCCACUUCUUUCACGGCCACCUGAAGCCUAACUAUAGGGCUUGAGUUUUAGUUUCAUUUCGUUCGGUCCAGCUUGUGUGCUAUUUCGUUAGCCUUGGUAUUUUGGUUUCAGUUGUCAUUAGCGUCAUCUUGGUGUUUCUUCUAAUGCAAAAUGAUGUAUGUUCUUUAUAAAAACAUCUAGGCUCUAAAUUAUGUGGUUGCUUAAAUGCUAUCGACUGUAACAACUUUGAUUUUUUUCUGGUCUAGAUCCUGCAAGAUUGAACUCUCAGUUUGACAUCAUAUCUUAUUUUUCCAGAUCAUUUCCUAGAAGACUGACACCCAAAAUUUUGGCUUUUGGUUGUCUGAACGUCUACCUUUUUGCUUGUGAAAAGAGUCCAGCUGAGUAGAAUUGAGGAGCUCAAUUUUCAAACCUGUGAACAAAUCGACAUCGCUGAGAUCCACGAUUUGCAAAAAAAUCUUACAUUGAUUGGUUCCCUAGAAAAAGACUGAAUCAUACUUGAAGAAAAGCUAAAGCGUCAUCAGGUACACUGUAGGUUUUCUACCAAAAGAAGAACUCUGUCCUUGGUUCUCUGUAUCACUCUACUAUCUCCGUGUUGAUCCAAAACCUGAAGGAUUCAAGGCACCAACAAGUUCUUAAUGAGCCUUUCUCCCUCGCUGGUAUUCUGUUGUGUCUCCUUGGAGCUUACUUUUUCCUUCCAUUGAAUGGAUUUUGCAUUGAGAAAAUAUUUGGCCAAAAGAAAAUGGAUUUACUUUGAAAGUAUUCCUUUCUACCAUGGUACGGAGCAUGAAAAGUUUCCCGUCGACUUACAGUUUACAGGGCCUGUAAUAGGUGCUACGGAUAUGGAUAUUCAGACAUAAAAUUGAAAUAUUAGCAUGCCAAGCAAUGUCUGAUGUGUUGUUCUGGAGUUGGAGUACCUUGCUGGUGGUGCAACUUAAUUCUACUUCGACAUAUCCACAUAUAGAUCAGAGGAGAACAAUAGCAAGAAAUGGGACUUUAUUGCCCAUAACGUACAGUUCACAACGGAAAAGGAGAAAACAAGCUAUGUCUUGACUAAGGUACAAAGGAAACAAGUAAUGAGUUGUAUAUUGUUUACGACAUAGUAGUUGUCAUCCACUGUACCAAUAUGACUUCUGACCAUGUGGUCUACUGAUCGUUUUGAAUAAUGCAUAUUAGGUAUGUUUUUAUGUUGCAUUUGUUCUAUGAUGUUGAUUAUAUCUUUGCCCAUACAUCUUAAGUUACGUUUCAUUUCUGAAGCAUAUUAAGUUGCAGCAUAUUUUAACAACAAUUGUUUGUGAACUCAGCUAAGAGAUAUUUAUGUCUUUACUGGUGCAGAUUAGCUUUGAUCACUUGGUUGUAAAAUCAUGUUGCCAUGCUAAUAAUAUCAUCUCUUAACUUGAUAUUGUGCACUCAGCUCGAUAUUUGGUUAUGUGCAAUUUACUGCAACAUGAGAUUUAAUUAUGAUAAGCUUCUAGAUCCUUGUAGCUCCUUUGGAUCUGUCAAUUUAGUUUGUCUUGAAGCCGGACCAAGUACAAUGAAGUUUUAAUUGACAGAGACUUUUAUCAUUACAUACAUGAGAAUAAAUUUCCAUUGCAAAUGGUUGAACAAUAACCAGGCUGCCAGUACUUUGGCCUAUUUGCCAUGAUACAUAUACUGUGGAUUACAGAAUUUUGCUCCCGUCAGCCUUCUACACAACUCUCUGAUCUGGUGUGUUUAUGGUCUCAGUAUGAUAUUUAUAUCAUUUGGUUUCUACUUUGGUCACUCAAGUUCCUAUUUCUGAAGAAGAAUUGAGUGGGUUCAAAAUUAGUGGUUAGAGGAGUGAAUUUUUCAUAUGUUUAUUAGAUUUUAAAGCUCUCUUACUACACUUAGGUGAAAAGUUCGUGCAGGUUGAGGAACAAAAGGGAAUAGUUAUUCCCUUCAUGAUAGGGCAUAGGUAACCAGUCAGUUCUUGUACUUUUUAAUACGAAAAGGGCAAAGGGAUAUCGUAUUGCAAUAAGGAGUACAAACAAUAUGAGAGUUUUGUGCUCUAUAUUAUUUGGUUAUUUAAAUGUUACAGAUGGUACCAAAUCCUUCUCGGUUAAGUUAUAUUUUUACAUGAUCUGAUAUAAUUUAUUCUAGACUUGACCCUACAAAAUUAAAAUUUGAAUUUCACAUUAGAUCUUAUUUUUUAGGACCACUUCAUAAAAGAUCCAUACCCAAAUUGUUGGAUUUUGGCCGACACAUACCCUUUUUGCACAUGGAAAGGUUUGUAUAGGUGAACUCUUCAAUUGGGCAUGCAUCAACAUUUUCUGUGAUAGAAUCAGUGAUGUC